UUGCUUUUCUGAAUCUAGUGGCGAACGGGUGAGUAACACGUAGGUAACCUGCCCAUGUGCCCGGGAUAACUUCUGGAAACGGAUGCUAAAACCGGAUAGGUAGCAGACAAGCAUUUGACUGCUAUUAAAGUGGCUUUGGCCAUGAACAUGGAUGGACCUGCGGUGCAUUAGCUGGUUGGUGAGGUAACGGCCCACCAAGUCUACGAUCAGUAGCCGGUCUGAGAGGAUGAACGGCCACAUUGGGACUGAGACACGGCCCAUACUCC
rnacentral:rRNA from 1 species